rnacentral:rRNA from 1 species
AGAGUUUGAUCCUGGCUCAGGACGAACGCUGGCGGCGUGCCUAAUACAUGCAAGUCGAGCGAACAGAGAAGGAGCUUGCUCCUUUGACGUUAGCGGCGGACGGGUGAGUAACACGUGGGCAACCUACCUUAUAGUUUGGGAUAACUCCGGGAAACCGGGGCUAAUACCGAAUAAUCUAUUUCACCUCAUGGUGAAUUAUUGAAAGACGGUUUCGGCUGUCGCUAUAGGAUGGGCCCGCGGCGCAUUAGCUAGUUGGUGAGGUAACGGCUCACCAAGGCGACGAUGCGUAGCCGACCUGAGAGGGUGAUCGGCCACACUGGGACUGAGACACGGCCCAGACUCCUACGGGAGGCAGCAGUAGGGAAUCUUCCACAAUGGGCGAAAGCCUGAUGGAGCAACGCCGCGUGAGUGAAGAAGGAUUUCGGUUCGUAAAACUCUGUUGUAAGGGAAGAACAAGUACAGUAGUAACUGGCUGUACCUUGACGGUACCUUAUUAGAAAGCCACGGCUAACUACGUGCCAGCAGCCGCGGUAAUACGUAGGUGGCAAGCGUUGUCCGGAAUUAUUGGGCGUAAAGCGCGCGCAGGUGGUUUCUUAAGUCUGAUGUGAAAGCCCACGGCUCAACCGUGGAGGGUCAUUGGAAACUGGGAGACUUGAGUGCAGAAGAGGAUAGUGGAAUUCCAAGUGUAGCGGUGAAAUGCGUAGAGAUUUGGAGGAACAC